GUUGCUGUCGUCUCUAAUUCGCUUGGUGCAGGUCGGGAACUGACUCGACGGUGACUGUCGGCGCCGCAUUUUCAUUCGAAUUUCCCAUAUAUGUAUUGCCUGUUACUGUUUGGAGGUGUCAGCAUUUCGUGGAUUUAGUCUAGGUGCGCGAAAGCUGGCGAGGACAUUAUGGUUAUAAAAGAAAAUAUUAUGUGUAGAUAUGUAGAGAGAUUUUAGGUUGAUGAGUUACUUAUGGAUGAAUAAUGCGUCCUCGUCUAUAGCGAAGUUUGUUCCCGCCUUGCAUCAACUGAAUCGGAGACUGCGGUGAAU
rnacentral:pre_miRNA from 1 species